GGAAUCUGGGAGGACCAUCUCCUAAGGCUAAAUACUCUCUAGUGACCGAUAGUGAACCAGUACCGUGAGGGAAAGGUGAAAAGCACCCCGGAAGGGGAGUGAAAUAGAACCUGAAACCGUGUGCUUACAAGUAGUCAGAGCCCGUUAAUGGGUGAUGGCGUGCCUUUUGUAGAAUGAACCGGCGAGUUACGAUUUGAUGCAAGGUUAAGCAGUAAAUGUGGAGCCGUAGCGAAAGCGAGUCUGAAUAGGGCGUUUAGUAUUUGGUCGUAGACCCGAAACCAGGUGAUCUACCCUUGGUCAGGUUGAAGUUCAGGUAACACUGAAUGGAGGACCGAACCGACUUACGUUGAAAAGUGAGCGGAUGAACUGAGGGUAGCGGAGAAAUUCCAAUCGAACCUGGAGAUAGCUGGUUCUCUCCGAAAUAGCUUUAGGGCUAGCCUCAAGUGAUGAUUAUUGGAGGUAGAGCACUGUUUGGACGAGGGGCCCCUCUCGGGUUACCGAAUUCAGACAAACUCCGAAUGCCAAUUAAUUUAACUUGGGAGUCAGAACAUGGGUGAUAAGGUCCGUGUUCGAAAGGGAAACAGCCCAGACCACCAGCUAAGGUCCCAAAAUAUAUGUUAAGUGGAAAAGGAUGUGGCGUUGCCCAGACAACUAGGAUGUUGGCUUAGAAGCAGCCAUCAUUUAAAGAGUGCGUAAUAGCUCACUAGUCGAGUGACACUGCGCCGAAAAUGUACCGGGGCUAAACAUAUUACCGAAGCUGUGGAUUGUCCUUUGGACAAUGGUAGGAGAGCGUUCUAAGGGCGUUGAAGCAUGAUCGUAAGGACAUGUGGAGCGCUUAGAAGUGAGAAUGCCGGUGUGAGUAGCGAAAGACGGGUGAGAAUCCCGUCCACCGAUUGACUAAGGUUUCCAGAGGAAGGCUCGUCCGCUCUGGGUUAGUCGGGUCCUAAGCUGAGGCCGACAGGCGUAGGCGAUGGAUAACAGGUUGAUAUUCCUGUACCACCUAUAAUCGUUUUAAUCGAUGGGGGGACGCAGUAGGAUAGGCGAAGCGUGCGAUUGGAUUGCACGUCUAAGCAGUAAGGCUGAGUAUUAGGCAAAUCCGGUACUCGUUAAGGCUGAGCUGUGAUGGGGAGAAGACAUUGAGUCUUCGAGUCGUUGAUUUCACACUGCCGAGAAAAGCCUCUAGAUAGAAAAUAGGUGCCCGUACCGCAAACCGACACAGGUAGUCAAGAUGAGAAUUCUAAGGUGAGCGAGCGAACUCUCGUUAAGGAACUCGGCAAAAUGACCCCGUAACUUCGGGAGAAGGGGUGCUCUUUAGGGUUAACGCCCAGAAGAGCCGCAGUGAAUAGGCCCAAGCGACUGUUUAUCAAAAACACAGGUCUCUGCUAAACCGUAAGGUGAUGUAUAGGGGCUGACGCCUGCCCGGUGCUGGAAGGUUAAGAGGAGUGGUUAGCUUCUGCGAAGCUACGAAUCGAAGCCCCAGUAAACGGCGGCCGUAACUAUAACGGUCCUAAGGUAGCGAAAUUCCUUGUCGGGUAAGUUCCGACCCGCACGAAAGGCGUAACGAUUUGGGCACUGUCUCAACGAGAGACUCGGUGAAAUCAUAGUACCUGUGAAGAUGCAGGUUACCCGCGACAGGACGGAAAGACCCCGUGGAGCUUUACUGUAGCCUGAUAUUGAAAUUCGGCACAGCUUGUACAGGAUAGGUAGGAGCCUUUGAAACGUGAGCGCUAGCUUACGUGGAGGCGCUGGUGGGAUACUACCCUAGCUGUGUUGGCUUUCUAACCCGCACCACUUAUCGUGGUGGGAGACAGUGUCAGGCGGGCAGUUUGACUGGGGCGGUCGCCUCCUAAAAGGUAACGGAGGCGCUCAAAGGUUCCCUCAGAAUGGUUGGAAAUCAUUCAUAGAGUGUAAAGGCAUAAGGGAGCUUGACUGCGAGACCUACAAGUCGAGCAGGGUCGAAAGACGGACUUAGUGAUCCGGUGGUUCCGCAUGGAAGGGCCAUCGCUCAACGGAUAAAAGCUACCCCGGGGAUAACAGGCUUAUCUCCCCCAAGAGUUCACAUCGACGGGGAGGUUUGGCACCUCGAUGUCGGCUCAUCGCAUCCUGGGGCUGUAGUCGGUCCCAAGGGUUGGGCUGUUCGCCCAUUAAAGCGGUACGCGAGCUGGGUUCAGAACGUCGUGAGACAGUUCGGUCCCUAUCCGUCGUGGGCGUAGGAAAUUUGAGAGGAGCUGUCCUUAGUACGAGAGGACCGGGAUGGACAUACCUCUGGUGUACCAGUUGUCGUGUCAACGGCAUAGCUGGGUAGCUAUGUGUGGACGGGAUAAGUGCUGAAAGCAUCUAAGCAUGAAGCCCCCCUCAAGAUGAGAUUUCCCAACUUCGGUUAUAAGAUCCCUCAAAGAUGAUGAGGUUAAUAGGUUCGAGGUGGAAGCAUGGUGACAUGUGGAGCUGACGAAUACUAAUCGAUCGAAGACUUAAUCAA
rnacentral:rRNA from 1 species